ACAAAACAAAACAUACAAAACAAACAAACAAACACAUAAUACACAGAUGGAAUUCUUUUAGAUAGCUUCAUUUAUCUGAGAAUAUUUGCUAUCCUUCCUUCAAGUAGAUUCAUGCAAUAUGAAGUCUGAAAUCAAAACUGCAAUUAAAAAAGUGGUAAUCAUUUAAACAAAAUGUAAACAUUUAUAGGAAAAAAAGGAUUUUCAAGGUCACUCUAAAAUUUUCACAACUGGCCCAUAAAGAGACUGUUGUGAGUUUCUGAUGGCUGGGGUUCUUCCUGAGAGUGACAAUAAGAUGUUUCCAAUUCCACCUGAGGAAAAACUGGCCAACAAUUACUUCUAUGGUUAAACACACACUCAAAAAAUCUUUCUACCUUCAUAUGACAUAAAAACAAAGGUAAUCUAACCCAAAAGUUAAAGACAUAGUAUUCCACUCCAAUGUACUACCAGCAAGAAUAGAACCAAAGAUCUGAGGAAACUGGAGAUUUCUUCACGUGAAACUAAAAUUGUUUGCCACAUCAAAAGCAGACUCUAAUUUUUCAGCCUUGGGCUUGACAUUUUGUUUCUCUGAACACAUGCAACUGUACCGCUCAUUUCAGAUGUUGGGAAUAAAUGCCCAUUCACAUUUUAUCUUAAUAAGAUCUAAGUAUUAAGCAAACCUUGCAUUACAGUGGGAGUUGCUAGUGACCCAGAGGAAGUGACAGUGAGCAUGGAUUUCUGCAAGGACCAGCAACAACCCUUUCUCUUCAGUCAGGUACUACUUACAUUAAAACAAAGCUCUUUUCCAACUGUUUUCUGCAGGAUAUUGGUAGUAUAAACUCACCUGCCUGACUUUGCCCUGAGGUGGGCAAAACAAAUUUGCACACUCCGUCACAAGUGAAAACAAUUAAAUGAGCUGCUCCUCUUAUGUUUAAGCACAUGGCACCUGACUGUAGUGGAGUGGAUGGCUUCAAGAGAUGCUGACACAGCACAGAUGUAAACUUGUUAGCAGGAAGGUGGUGACUGGGAUUACAACUCCAACCACAUUAUCAUAUUCCAAGCUUUCCAACAGAAGAUCCUCCUUGACACCAGUGAAGAUAACGACUUCAGUGCUGAGAAAGUGAAAAACGCAGUUUGGAAACUAACUUCAGCCUGACUCAAAAUUUAAAUAAGAUUACACAGAAUCAGCUCAAUGCUCUUCAUAAACCUUGUUCAGCUACUGGUGAAUACUUACGAUUGAGUUGAUCUGCUCAGCCUGGACCACGUCCUGGAUGACUGUAAAAUGCUGUGGCAAAAUGCUAAGCAUCUGUAAACCUGUGAUUUCUGGAAUAUUCCAAAGGCCAGCAAAUAUUUCUGAUAUUACAAGGAAUAUUGUUGCAUAAGUGUUGCAGUAAAGAAAGGAGAACUAUAUCUUACAGAAUUAGAUACAUGAUGUUGGGGAUAAAGCAGCCACUAGCCCAGGAUGAGAUGGGCUUAGGAGAUGCAGAAUCUCAAGUACAAGAUGGGUAUAUGAAGCCUGAAAUACGACAUACUUUUUGGGAAGAGAGUGCAUGCAUCUCUGUGUAUCUGAUGAUGCUUUAUGAAACUAAUGAAAAAUGAAAAAAUAAAAUUCAGCAGCAAAGACAAAAAAUAAAAAUCUCUUCAGUCACUAUUAUAAAAACAGCCAACAAAUGGAAACUUUUUUCUCACCUUUCAGUUUCUUUCCUCUGUCCUCCAAAUGCUACCACAGUUUGAAUUGCUGCCAGAACUUCCUCUGCAACAGCUCCUGCUUUUGCAUAUGCAGUCAGUUCUUUGUUAGUGAAUGCAGAAAUUAUCUGUGUGGAAGAAAAAUCAUUUAACUUUCCUGUUCAAACAAAAACAGAACCAGCACAAUCACUAUACUGAUUUAUUUGAAUACCUUUUU